rnacentral:lncRNA from 1 species
AACAAUAUAUUGAUGAAAUGAAUUCUUUUAUAUCAUAAUCAAAGCUGUAUACCUAUCAAUGCCUGCCUGCUGCUCGUCUAAUGCUUUUUACACAUGACUGAUGCAUGGAAUGAAAAUGGAAAAUAAAAUAAAAUAUAGGAACGACCCUCUCUCUCUUUCUCUCUCUUUUCCACUGAAGAACAUUUCAUUGCGACUUAUAACCUAAGUAAGUUUAACUGAUAAAUAUUGAAUUAGUAUAAAAUACGGGGAAUUUAGUUUUUUUUUAUCUUCUCUCUCGGAGGCACCCCCGGAUUUUGCGUGAGAUGGGGGCGUGCUGGUGCUGCAGAGGAAGCUGGCAGGGUCCGUUUCGGUGACACCUGGCCUUACAUUAACUCCUCCACUUGUAAUUUUUGAGCCAACCAUCAACUCCGCCAUUGAACCAGAAAACAACUGCCAGUCCCUCUCUCUCUCCUGACUGCGCUGCAAACGCUUUUAUUGAAUGGCCCAGGCUCUCCGAUGAGCGACGAUCGACCUUUCUUCAACCGAGGAAAAGGAGAGAGUAGCAGGCAUUUAAUGUUAAGUUUAGCAGGAGGGGCUAACCGGGGGGAGGAGAGAUGGUGACGGAGGUGGCGUGGCGUGGGGGCCUGGGGAAAGGGCAGGGGGGAGGGGCAUCACAAGAUGCGUGCACGCGUUCAUUCGACAGAGACGAUGAUGAUGCAGCAGAAGGAGAAGCGGAGAAGUUUCACUUUUUCCCUCGUUUCCACGUACUGGGUCGGGUUCGAGUUCAUCGGGAAUAGGAAAGAUGCCGAGAAUGGGUCGACUGGAGGAAAUAGCUUCGAGCCAAGGGGUAGGCUUUUGCGCAGAGUAGAGAGAGAGAGAGA